CAUUUAAUCAAUUAUACAUAAAUAAGUGUUUUGAGAAGUAGUAUUUUAAUCUAUGUUCUGUGAAUGACAAGUGUUAUCUGUCAAGUGUCAAAAAACUUGAAAAACUUUUACGAAGUUUGAUUUUUGUUAAAUUUGUUUAAAAACACAAUGCCAAAGGCAAGAAUAAUUGCCCACGCCAGAUGGAGACCCAGCUAAAUAAUGUAGUAACAGCGCGUGGUCGUGUGAUGAGGGUUCCUUGACUUGAGUUCUGGCGCAACACGUCCUGGGCACUAAACAAGAUUGGGGAUGGGACGUCUAAAGAGGUGCAAGCCUGGAAAACGCUCUCGUCUUGCUCUACAGCACUUGCACUUGUCCCACCAUCUACCAGUGUUGGAACUCUUCCAAUAAUUUCCCACACCCAGGUGGAGAAUACUCGUUACUGCUACUGCUACUCUAAAAUAUCUCUCAUCUUGUUCUACAGCGCCUGCAC